UUAAUUGAUCUAAUGUAGGUACUACAUAUCGAACAAUCUGAAUGAGAAAAGCGAUGUUUACGCCUUUGGGAUAGUCCUGUUGGAGCUGGUCACUGGCCACCCUGCAAUCAUACCAGGCCAUGAGAACACACACUUAGUUGACUGGCUCAGUCCCAGGCUUGCAGGAGGGGAAAUAAGAAGCAUUGUAGACUCUAGGCUAAAUGGAGAUUUCAACCCCAACUCCGCCUGGAAACUUGUAGAGACAGCAAUGGCAUGUGUGCCCAGAAGCUCCAUACAAAGGCCAACAAUGAGUCAAGUGGUUGCGGACCUGAAGGAGUGUCUGCAGAUGGAAAUGCACCGCAACAAAAGUGCUUCACAGUCUAGAACAUAUCAAGAUACAGCAUCAAGUGCUAAUUCCAUUGAUCUGUUUGCUGUUGAGCUCGACGUCUCAAUGCCUCAUGCAAGAUAGUGAAGUUUAUAUGGACAUUGGUCUCUGGAAAAUUAAGAUUGUUGAAAAUUUUUCUGAAACAUUUCUUGGGUUCUAUCAAUAUUUGUACUUUAAUUAAAAUAGUUGAAACCAGGGUUUGGGAUUACUGUAGUCUGCAACACUGAUCCUACCCCAAAAUUUUCUUAUAUUUGUAGAACUUGUUAGUGCAGUCUGGUUGUUAAUUAUAAGAUAAAAAUAAAACUAUACUUGUAUUUACGAAAUAUCUUUAUAACUUGAAUUAUAGUUUUUAACGAUAGUAUUCAAAAGCUAUCAAAAUUCAAGCAGAACAGCGAAAGUGGAUGGAGCAAAUAUUAAUGCCCAUCAAAUAAACUCAAGUGUCAACCAAUUUUAUAUCUUAUUUAUAUGUUAUAUAAAUAUAUUAUUUUAAGAUUAUUAAUUUAUUAAUAAAUAAAAUAUUUAUUAUCUUUAUAUUUGUGGAAGUAAUACUAGAUUCUUAAACUUAGAUAUAAGUAAUUUAUUAUUAAAAUAUAUAUAUUUUUAAUUUUAAUAAUAAAUUAUAAUUUAAUAGUUUUUAAUUAAAUUUUAAAGUAAAAAAUAAAUAAAUAACUGAAACCUUGGUUGAUAAUUGAGAUUUUAGUUCAAAAAAUGAAGUUUCAAUUGUCAAUUGAAACUUUAGUUAAAAAAUAAAGUCUCAAUUGAGAACUACUAUUUUAAUUCAACAACUGAAACCUCAGUUGGUAACUGCGACUUCAGUUCUAAAACAAAGUCUCAGUUGUCAAUUGAAGUUUUAAUUAAAUUUUGAAAAAAAAUAUAUUUUUAUGACAUAACUUUUAGGUGACGCCAAAAGAGGCUAAUUUGAAUAUAAGUUUCAUAAAGUGGUUAUAUGUAAUUUUUUAUUUUUUAUUUUUUUUUAUAUUCAUGGCCAUUUUGACCCAAAACUCGUCAAACAUAUCACAUAAAAGUCCAUACAAAUGUACGUGUAAUUAUUAUGUAUUUUUCUAUCAACCAGAAUAAAAGGGUCAAAAUUCUUCUACAAUAUUAUUUUUUUUUAGUUUUUAACAUUUUAUUUUAACUUCAAAUAAAAAAUAAUAAACAAACAUAUUUAAAGCCAUCUAAAACCUGUUUCUCAACGGAGGUACCCGAAGACAAGAAGAACGAAAUGGCGUGACGUCGAUAGUGCAAUCGAACCAGGCGGCAGGAAACCCUAACUUCGACGGGAAUCCGCCGGUGGCCCCAACUCCGCUGGGAACAAACAUGACGGGCAUCUGUUUCAAAGAUCAGCUAUGGUUAAACUCCUACCCUAACUCAAAUGAGCAUAUGUCAAAUUUCCACUAAAGAAAAUAUUAUGAUCAUAGUUUUCCUUAUCACAUAUCCUUUGGAUCACCUAAAGAGAUACAUUGUCUUAAUCUCAUCAGUUAUCAUAGUGUCUCUAUUAAGAAUACAUAUUACCACCAACUUUUAUUAACAGUGAUCCAAUCCAUAAAAAUACGUUACAACACUAGGUUCUCACCCAUAGGUCAAAGUUCCCUAUUGAUUUUGGCAUAAACUUAAUAUCUUCUAAAUGUUGAGCGUUCAUGUAGUAUAGUAGCUUGGUAAAUUAUGAUAGUCGAUAGUCUUAUGUCAUGAUUCAUUAUAGGUCUUGUCUACCAUACACACUAAUGUACUCAUCAUGGAAAACUCAUCUUGACAAUCAAGAUAAGUCAUCCAUCUAAUUAAGGGGUAAUGCACUAUAGUUUAUACAAAAUUGUCCAAAUCCAUAAACCAAGUUUAAACAACUUAUCAUUUUACAAAGAAUUCAUGACUUGUAUCCUUUGUACAAUUCCUAAUACACCUAAGUCAUGUAUAAUGCAAGUGAUAUGGGUGUGAAUGCUUAUGUUAUAGUUUAUGACAUGGUACGUACAUUAAGGUUGGUUCUUGUAAGAAUUGUGCUUAAAUUAGAUGACUUGUUAUUUUUUUGGUAUUGAAUCUUUGUUAUAUUUUAUAUAUUUGAAGGGCUUAUUAUAUGAUGAUUGUAUUGGAAAGUAUCUCAAAUUCCUAAUUAAUAUAUUUCUUUUUUGAAGAAAAAUAUUAUAUAAAACAUUUUCUAAUUAGAUUUCUUGUAGAAUAAGAAAAACUAUUAAAAAUAUUUUUAUAAGUAUUAUUAGUUAUGAAAGGAAAAAGUUAUGAGAUGGAAAUGAGGCACUUGGUAGAAUAAGAGCCGGUUUCGGCUAUAAAUGAUAAAUUUAACAAGUCUUACAUAGAUGAUAUAGAAGGAAAUCAAUCAUCCACCAAACCUAACAAUGAUAUCUCUAAUGAUAGCAACAAUAUAGAAACAAAACAAUCAUCCACUCCAAUCACCCUAUUCCCAUGAUUACACCUCAACAAUUACCUAAGAAAAUAAAUCACUUAGAGACACAAUUUCAUAUUAGUAUAGCUAGAAUCCUAACAAUAUGCUUUUUGUAAAUAUAAAAUUUCCUAUUAUUAAUUUUAAAGCACUUUUAAAACACAAAUUGAAAUACAAAAUCACCUCAAAAUUGACUUAUUCAAGUCACAAAGUACAAUUGUUGAUAAUUUCCUCGGCAUUAUGUCAUGGUUGUAAUUGAGAAGAUUUAAGGCAAGCUCAAGUCAAUGAUGUUAAAUCCAUGAAUUUUUAAUGAAAGACUCUUAAAGGGAAGACUAAGUCAAUGAUAGGAUAUCCAUGAAAUUUUGAUGAAUUUUCAAUCUUCAAUUCAUAUAUUGGAUUUCAAUAACACAAAAUUUAUGUAUUAAAUAAUUACUAACAUCACCUUAUUAAAAAGGGUUACUAAUAAAAUAAAAUAUAUAAAUUUUAAAAAUAAAGAAUUAAUUACCAUUUUCACAAAAAAAAAAACUCAAAAUAUUAUUUUUCUCUCCAAAAUUUUGUAAAGCUAUGGGUCUUUGAUAAGAAAAUAUUUAGGCAUUGAAUAAGUAUAUGUCGAAAUUUGAAUUUAAGUCAUUAGUAGUAUAAUUAAAAUAUAUUCUUGAAAAACACCAUAUUUUUUAAACAAUUUUCAAAAACCCGGGAUCAAAUGACAAUAAUUUAUAUUUUCAUAUUUCUUUUUUUUUUUUUUAAAAAAAAAAAAAAGAAAGAAAUUGAGAAUCGUUCCCAAACAUAAUGACUUUUGGUGUUAUGAUAAAUCAUUAAUUUGAGUAAAAAUAUUAUAUCCAUGUAAUAUUUGCGCUAAAUCCUUCACACCUAAUAACCAUCUUCUUCCACUGAAUGGUUAAGCAUGUGCAAAUGGAAUUAUGACCAAAGAAAGAAAGUUUAAUUUUUAAUUUAUUUUAAAAUUCAAAAUCCUCUUGGAAUUAGAAGUACAAAUUACUCUAAAAAUAUAUGGGAUAUUACCAAACAAAGAGAGUUCAAUUUUUUAUUUUUAAAUUCAAAAUCCUCUAGGAAUUAGAAGUACAAUUACUUGGAAAAUAUAUGGCAAUGACUACUGUGACUAAGGUGGUAAAGAUAAACUAUUAAUUCUAGCCUUUAGCACAAGUCAAUCAUCAAGUCUUCUAACAUUAUUUAUUAAUUCAAAGAAGAACGCAUAUAUACAUCUCAGUAUUUCGGGCUUUUGCUAUCCUCAAAGUAGGGAUUUAGAAAAAAAAAAACAAAAAAUCUAGCAAUUUUAAGAGCAUAUCAAAUAUCUUAUCUUAUGAUUUUCUAACUCCUUGCCAUUCAUUUUAUCAUACUCUUUAUUUGUUGUCAUAGGUUUGAAUCCUACCUAAGAGUCUUUCAUCUAUCCUAGGAGUUGAGGAUUAAAUAAUUAUAAUAUUUAAAAAAAACAAAUUAACCAUAAAAAAUAUAUUUAUCUAUCAAAACAUAGUUAAUUAAAUAAUAUAUAUACAUACAUAUAUAUAUAUAUAUAUAUAUAUAUAUAUAUAUAUAUAUAUAUAUAUAUAUAUAUAUAUAUAUAAUGAUAAAAUAAAUGGUUUUAAUAUAUUGGUAAUAAUAAUUUAACAUAUAAAUAAUACAACAUAUAUAUUACAAUUAUCAUAUAAAAUAAUUUCUUUAUCAAAUCUGUUAAUACGUUAUCUUAAAUUGAUGUGUGAUUCCAUCUAUUCAUAUAUAAAGUAAUAUUCUGAUUUAAAAAAUAAAACCUCAACAAAAGUAAAUGAAAUUAAAUCUAAAAUAGAUCAUGCAAUUAAAAAAUGUUUUUAAAAAUUUUAUAAUUUCAAAACAAAAUUUAAAUUUAUGAUAUUUUUUAUACAUUAAAUCAAAGUUAUUUUUCUAAAAUAUAAUUUUAAUUUAAAUAUUAAAAUCGUAUUUUUGAAAAGUCAUAUAAUUUAAAAAUAAUUUUUGAAUUAAUAUAUUUAAAAAAUAAAAUUUUAAAAGCAUAAAUUUUACUUAUUUUUCUUUGGUUUCAUGUUAAAUAUACUUAAUAAUCCAUUAUAAUUUAAUCAAAUAUCUCUUUUUUAAAAUUAAAUAGGAGGUGAAUGAAAAUUAUAAAAAUUACAAAUGAGAAUGAGAAGAUAUUUAUACAAUUUAAAAUUUUUAUUUAUUUUUUAAAAUUUAAGGUUGAGAUAAAUGUUUUUUUUUUUUUAAUUUCAUUCAUUGUUUCAAAAUUCCAACGGUUGCCCACAACGGCGAGAUAGGGCAUUGGCAGUGCACCUCAGUUCGGCAACAACAGAGGGAGAGAGGUGGGCAGAUGCCUCCGCACGCCCACACAAUGACACCACAAGGAUCAGAAGUAGAGAGCUGAGAAGCCAGCACGCAGCGAUUUUGUCAAUAUAGGUCUCUUCUUUCAAGAAGGGGGAAAUUCAGAAAUUAGACAUUGAGAAAUCAGAAAAAUCAAAAGAAAAAAAAAUCCGAAAGAGAAAAUUCAGAGGCGACUCUGUACGAGAAAAAGAACUUCAUAACAAAAAAAAAAAAUCUUUAUCAAAUCUCCCUUCAAGUUAGAUAAAUGGAAAAAGAACGGUUACACACGUUUUUCGUCAUUAAACGAAUUUAUUUAAAAAUAAGCCACUUAUUACCCUCGAUUGAUAUUUGAAAUCAAAAAAACGUUAUUGACGUUCUUCAAGUUGUGAUCAAAAUUAAGGAAUCAUAUAGAAAAUAUUCUUUUGUAAAUAAUAUCAUAUUUGAGAUUGAACUCCAAUAUUUUUAAUUUUGAUAAAUAUUUUAUUCGUAUUAUUUUUGUUAUUAUUUUACUUAUAUUAUAGGACUUUUUAUGAAAUUUGUGCUUAAAAUUUGAAAGGGAUAAAAUGAUUUCUCUUGGUAACUCGAACGAUUCAAUCAAGUUUAAUGUAUUCCUAACCGAGUCGGACUCGGUUAAGUGUUACCAGAGUCAGCCAAUAGUUUGAACCAGUGGACAUACCUACAUUCUUUAGUAAUAUCUCUAAGUUGGGCGAAUUGUCGCUUGUUUUAGUUUGCAGUUUGAUACUGUCUUUGCAAUAUUUAUAUAUAUAGAGUAAUUUCAGAAACUUGAUUUCUAAUUAAAAAUCUUCUAAUAACUAAGUAGUUUCUCGUGAUUAAGACACCCAACGCGUUGUCGUGGACAGGUAUCUGCAAGUGGAAAUGGGUGAGUAAUGGAGAUAUAGACUUGUAUUGACUCUUGAGAAUUGGGUUGGAAAUGUGAGCAAUGGAGAUAUAGACUUGUAUUUGAAAGGUUAUAAAAUAAAUUUAUAACAUAUACAGCAGAAAAUUGAUCUAUUUUGCAUUCAAAAUAUAUACUGCAGCUAUCAAAAAUUUAAAAUAAUAACCUGGAUGUCAGUUCUUCAAGCAUAAAAUUUUCUCCAAUUGUAUGAAGACUCUACGUGUAUCCACACCGAAAUUAAUCUUUGCUAUCAACCCUUUGAUAUGCGGAACUUUAAAAAAAAUAGAACAACACUUUGUAUUUCUUUGGCGUAAAAACAAGGAGGAUAAAGAUAGAUCGAUCUUUAUUCAGAUUGUGUAUAUAUGCUAUAUAGCAUAUCCGAUACAACUUCUGUUUUAAGUGAUAAGAUAACUCAACUAAUUUGAUUUUUUUGAUUUUAUCACUUAAUCUAUCUCUAUCGUGUCCUCCUUUUUUGGGCUACUAAGAGAUUCUAUUGGUCCAUUUGUUUUUCUUUUGCUAUUUUCAAUAGCAUUUGAAAAACACUUUGACUAAGUCUUGUAAGUUAAAAACAAAACCCACAUCCCUCCUGUAAGUUGCUGCAUGUACCCAUAUAUUUGCAAAUGUUUAGCAAACAUUCUCGUGGACUAACUUCCACGUCCAAAGAAAAAUAUAUAUAUAUAUUUUUUAUCUAUAUAUUAAUUAUAUUCUUGGUGCUAGCAAAGAAUAUAAUAAUAUUCCACAUAGAACAUAUUUAUUUAUUUGAUUAAAAUUAAAUUCUCUAAUUUAAUUAUCAAAUAAUAAUAAAUAGCUCUUUGCAAAGAUUAAAACACUCGUUUGUGUGUGACCCCGUAGGUUCAUUACUAAGCUGGUAGUAAAUUAAUAAAAUCAAUUUACUAAUUAAGGUAGGCGUCUAGCAACACUCCUUAACGUCCAGAUAGUAUGAAGUAAUAUCUUUUACUUUCAAGAACCGGUAGAAGAAUAAUGUAAUAUUUCCUUCCAUCAUUUACAGCUCUGGGCUAACUCUAGAGUAUGGUAUUACUGUCAAACUCUAAUAAGUCAACACAUUAUUUAUUUAGUGAAUGACUUAAGAAACUCAUUUCUUCAUUCAUUCAAUUGCCCUUGGCCAAGGUCUUAUUUUUAUCAUAGAGCUCAAACUCAUUACCAAGAGUUGAUGGAUUCCUUCUUGAUUAAUCAUUAAUUCUACAAGUAUUUAAUUAUAUCCAAUAUCCAUUCAACUAGUGCCCUAAGGCAUUAGGUGUCCGGGAUUAAAAUAUAAUAAAUAACUUGUUAAUUACUUUGAUAAUCUCAUGUCAAAGAAAACUAUUAUAUUUCUUCUUGAGAAAUUCCUAUUGACAAUUUAAGGUAAAGAUAACCAUUAGAAAUUCUCAGUUGAGUCAGUUCAAUGAUCACAUCUACAUGUGCAUCAUCUAUAUAUGUAAUUUAACAAAUGAGAUAUAUCAAUCUUUAUCCAAUAAAGACCAUCACAUAUAUAUUGAUCUAUCUGGAUUAUUGAUGUCCUGUUGACAAUAAUCCUAUGAUCAAGAACAGUUUAGAUUAAAAUUAUUAAAAGAAUUGCUUCUCAUUAUCAUAAUCUCUAUCAUGAUAACAAUUUUCAAAUUUUAAUCAAGGACCUUAUCAUAUAAACUAUUUUAAACAGAUAUGAUAAUGAAAUAAAGAAUUAAUACCUUAUUAAAACUAAAGUUGAUUACAUGAUAGAUUGGAUCUUGGGCAUACAUUUAUCCCCAACAGUAUUGACUCUUGAGAACUGGGUUGGAAAUGGGUGAUCGAUGGACAUAUAGACUUGUAUCGACUCUUGAGAACUGGGUGAUCGAGGCUCCCCUUCAUUGCUGAGGAGGCAAACAAGGAGACCGAUGGAAUUGUUAAUUGUUCUUUCUGGAUAUUUAGCUUUUACUGCUAUGGUUCGUGGCCAGGAUCAAUCCGGUACGCAUAUCUCUCUCACAUCUCAUGAUUUCUUGCCCUCUCCCUCCCCUGGAUCUCUCAUAUGCACUCUGUAUCUCCAGGACUAGCUCCGAGGAACUUUCCUUUAAAGAGACGCUCACCUGUUUGAUAACUGUUUUAAAAAACAGUUUUUAAGAAAUGUUUUCAAAAAUUAUGAAACAUGUUUUCCUUAUUUUUUUUAUUCUGAAAAACAAAAUACUAUUUUUAAAAACAAUUGUCGAACAAACUGUUAUUUUCUUUCUUGUUUCUGUUAAUAGAUUUUCCAUGUUUUCAUUUUUAAAUGUUUUAGCCGAUAUUUAUAGAUGCUGAAUUUUUAAAUGAUUUUCUCUUUAGUGCGUGAGAGAAUAGAAAUACAUUGCUUGGUUGGGAGUUUUGUGGAGACUCCCAACUCUGUUCCAGAGUUGGUUGAGUUGAGACGCUGGGCGUGUCGUGUGUGGUCUCUGAAAAGGGGUUGAUUUUGAGGAUAGGUACGAGGCUGAGAGGGUGUUGGCAAGGAGAACGUUUUGCAUUUGGAGAGGUGGAAACCUGAGGUAGGGUGCUGUCGUAAUGGUGUGGCACCUAAGGAAGCUUGGGUGCGAAUUCUGGGACUCCCGCUGCACUUAUGGGCGGGAUUGUUAGAAGUAGUAGUGGGCUCUUCCACUUUUUCUAUUCCGAAAGGUGAUGGAAGUGGUUGCAGGGAUGGCUGGAGAAGACGAUGAGGGAACCUCACGCGCCAUUGUGAGAGUGUCUCUGGAGAAGCCGAUGGAGCAGCUGGGAAGGGGUUGCGUGUCGCUCCCCGAAGGCAGGAGGAACAGGGUAAGUAAGGGCAGAGUAACUGGCCCUACUACGAGCUCUGCUGAGGUGUCAGAGUUAGGAGGCGGUGUAGUGGGAGAAUUUGGAGAAGUGGGCUUCUCCGUUUGGGCCGAGUCAGUUUUCGUUCUGGCAAAGAGGACUUAGAGGCUGAUGGGCCUAGUGAUGCAGGGGAGUUGUGGCCCAAUUGGACAUGGGCCGUUCUACUAAGGAGAGGAGAGCCCUUUAGUAAUUAAAAGGGGGGGAGCCCAAGAGGGACUUGGUAUUCUCGUUCUGACGAGGGGAGGUGGAGGAAUCGUUAGGCCUUCUGAAGGGGAUGAGGCUGGUACGGAAAGCUCCGGCUUUCGAGCCUCCGCUUGCUCCUCCGCAGUAGAGAGCGAUCGUGACAAGUGGAGAGAUGAAGAAGAUUUUGUCCCCGUGGCUAAGAGUCAUCCGAUGGAAUUAGGGGUUUCUACAGUGUCGCGCCGUCAGAGGCCACAGACGAGGCUCUCUUGGCGGAGGUGACCAGUUAUUCUGACUCACCCCUCUUCUCCUUGUCCUUGGGACUUUUUGGGGUUGCGGGUUUCCUCUUCUUCUUUUCCUUCUGCUUUGGGUCGAGGAUUUGAUGGGGAAGAGGCUGCGGUGUGUUGUGGCGACUCGAUGGAGAAGAAAGGAGUGGAUUUUCAGCACCCCUGAGGAAGAUUUCGGCAGAUAGGAGGAUAAUGGAGUCUCGGUCUGUUGAAGAAGAGGAACAGGAUGUAACAGGGACCUGGGACGAAAGGGCUUUGACUUUGAUUAGUGAUCAUAUCGAGGGGGAGGGGGAGUCAUCAGAGUGUUGGUCCAUGAGUUGUCUUGCACAGUUCAGAAAAUUAUUGGGUAUGCCAACAACAGGUUUUGAGAAGGAAAUUUUGGCUUUGCUUAAAAAGCUGAACCAAAAAAGGAGCAGACUGGAAAAAGAGGAUCAAGUCUAGGUUCGAAAGGGAGUUGAGGAAGUUAGAAUGUUCUGACAAUUAUAACAGAACAGGUUGGGGGAAUAGUCGAUCUAAAGAGGGGGGGAUUCUGGUUGUAGUGGAUAAAUGAAGCUAAAAGUUCUCUCUUGGGAUGUGAGGGGGGUUAAUGACAGUGAUAAAAGGGAAGUUAUUAAGGCCUUAAUCAAGUCCCAGAGAGUGGAUUUGGUUUAUCUUUAAGAAACCAAGAUUCAAGACAUGUCUAUGGGUACUGUGCGAAGUCCUGGAGUGGGAAGAGUUUUAGAGUGGGGUGCUUUGAAUUCUCGGGCUGCAGCAGGGGAGUUUUGGUUUUUUGGGACAGUAGGGUGCUUGAGUAGGUGGGUAUGGAAAAAGGAUAAUUUUCGAUAUCCUGCUGUUUCAAAAAUUGUGAGGAUGGAUUUACUUGGAUUUUUACUGGGGUGUAUGGCCCUACGGUAAGGAGGUUUAGAGAAGACUUUUGGGGAGAAUUGGGGGCAUCAGGGGGUUUUGGGGUGACUCUUGGUGUAUUGGUGGGGACUUUAACUUUAGUGAGAUUCCCAAGGGAGAAAAGCAGAGGCAGUCAGUCGUGGGGGAAAUGAGAAGAUUUUCAAAGGUCAUUGAUGACCUAGAAAUGAAAGAUCUGCCUCUACAGGGGGGUUCGUUCAAUUGGAGGGGAGGGUUAAAUAAUCAAUCCCAGUCUGGAUUGGAUCGAUUCUUGGUGUCAGAGGUGUGGAUUACCUAUUUCAGUGGGGUGGUCCAAAGCAUCUUGCUUAGACCUGUUUCUGACCACUUUCCUAUUCUGCUAGAUGGGGGAGAUUUGAGAAGUGGCCCUUCCUCGUUUAGGUUUGAGAUCAUGUGGUUGAAGGUGGAAGGUUUCAAAGAUUUAUUGCAGUCUUGGUGGUCGGGUUUCAGUUUCAGCGGUUCUUACAGCUACAUUCUGACAGAAAAAUUGAAAGCUUUGAAGGCUAAGUUGAAGGUUUGGAACAAAGAGGUUGUAGGACCUCAACAGAGGUCUUUGGCAAUGUCUCGUCUGGUAAGGACAGGACUCUAAAUUAGGAGGCUUUGUGGGAUUCUGAGGAAGCAUCCAGAGUGUUGACUGGGGAGGAGCAGAAUGCUAGGAAUCUGGCAAGGGAAGAGUACAAGAACUGGUCCCUUCACGAGGAAACCUUGUGGAGGCAGAAGUCAAGAGAGUUGUGGCUGAAGGAAGGAGAUAGAAACACUAGCUUUUUCCAUAAAAUGGCUAAUGUUCACAGGAGAAGGAAUCAGUUAGCAAAGAUUACAAUUAAUGGGAGUUGGGCUACAGAGGAGAGAGAGAUUAAGGAGGGGGUGGUUCAGGCUUUUCAGGUUCUUUUGUCUUAGACACAUGGAGGCCUAUUGUCAAUGGGCUUUCUUUUGAGGUGUUAGGGAAUCAAGAUGCAGCAUAUCUGGAGGUCCUUUUCUCUGAGGAGGAGGUGUUCACAGCCCUUUCAGAUCAAAGCACCAGGUCCUGAUGGCUUUCCUAUGACUUUUAGGCAGCUCAGUUGGGAUUUUGUGAAGGAAGAGGUGAUGGGGAUUCUAAUGAAAGGGGCUGUUUCAUGAAGAGUUUGAAUGCUACUUUUUUGGUCUUAUUCCCUAAGAAAGGGGGCGCUGAAGACCUUAAGGGCUUUAGGCCUAUCAGUUUGGUGGGUGGCCUCUUCAAGCUGUUUGCUCAAAAAGGCUAAGGAUGGUGGUUUUUUGCCAGGUUGGAGGGUGAAUGGAAGAUGUGGAGAUGGAGUGGUUAUUUUCCACCUUUUGUUUGUCGAUGAUACGUUAGUGUUGUCCAAACCGAAUCAAGACCAGUUGACUUACCUUGGUUAUUUAUGUGGUUUGAGGCCAUCUCGGGGCAUAGCAUUAACUUGGAAAAAAGCGAGUUAAUUCCGAUGGGAAGAGUGGAGAAUGUAGAAGAGGUAGCCCUUGAGUUUGGAUGCAAGGUGGGAAUACUUCCAUCGUCUUAUGUGGGUUUUCGCCUUGGGGCCCCUUUGAAGUCUAUGGUAGUAUGGGAUGAGGUGGAGGAGAGGUUUCGAAGGAAGCAGGCCAUUUGGAGAAGAUGGUACUUAUCCAAGGGUGGGAGGUGUUCCUUUAUUUGAAACACUCUUUCUAGCAUGCCGAUAUACUCAUGUCCUUGUUCUAUAUUCCAAGGACAGUUAUGAUGAGGUUGGAAUAGAUUCAAAGGAAUUGCCUUUGGAGAGGAGGAGCACUAGAGCAAAAGCCGCACUUAGUAGGGUGGUCUGUUGUUUGUACAGAUAAGAGUAGGGGUGGAUUGGGGGUAAAGAAUCUUGCUAAGCUUAACAAAGCCCUUCUAAGUAAAUGGAGCUGGCAGUUUGCAGAGGAUAAGGGAGAUUUGCGGAAGCAAAUUAUAAGUGGCAAGUAUGGGGUGGAAGAGGGAGGGUGGCGAUCUAAGGUGGUGAGAGGAAGUUACAUGGUAGGAUUAUGAAAAACCAUUAGAAAGGAAUGGGAGCUAAUAUCUAAUAGAGUUGUCUUCUCGGUUGGUAGUGGGUGGAGGGUGAAAUUUUGGAAGGAUAAGUAGUAUGGUGAUGUGGCAUUGUGUACUUUGCUUUUUAUGCUAUUGCUAAUCUUAAGGAGGAUUAGGUGGUGGAUGUUUGGCACUCAACAGUUGAACGGGGUGUUGGGCCCCUCGCUUUAUUAGGGCUCUUAAUGAUUGGGAAUUGGAUUUGGUGGAACAUUUUCUCUUGAGUUUGCAAAGGAGGAGGACGUGUAAGGAUUAAGAAGAUAAAGUGAUUUGGUCAAGAUCGAAAUAUGGGAAGUUUUCUGCUAAAGCCUUAUAUUUGACCUUGGAGACUGAAAGUUCUGUGCCCUUUCCUGCUAGUGUGAUUUGGAAUUUGUGGGUACCCUCCAAGGUUAGUUUCUUUGCUUGAGAGGCUUCUUGGGCGAAGGUGUUAACUUUGGAUUGUUUAAAGAGGAGAGGGUGGCCUUUAGCAAAUAGAUGUUUUCGUUGUCUUGAAGAGGAAGGGACCAUUGGAAUCUAGUGUUCUUUUUUGGCGUGCUUUGGACACUUCCUUCUUCUAUUAGAGACACACUUCUAGGAUGGCAUGGCUCUUUUGUCAGUCAAAGGCGGAAAAAGGUGUGGUGGGCUGCUCCUUGGAAGGAAAGAAAUAGAAGAGCUUUCGAGAAUGAGGAACAAUCUGUUCAAGGACUAGAACUUGCUUUCCUUUGUAAUCUAUAGGAUUGGUCUUGGUUAUUUUUAUUUUCUGGCCCUUCUUCAGUUGUAGAUUUUGUGGAUUGGGUGGGUUCUUGUUGAGGAGGAUGUAGUUUUUGUUUGUCCUCGUCCUUUUUUUGUGCUUUUAAGCAUUUGUUGUAUACCUCCUGUGUACUUUGGAAUGCUAUUUUGUCCUUUUUUUGUUUAUAAUAUACUUUUGCUUUACUCAAUAAAAAAAAAAAGGAAUUUCAGUCAAGAAAGUAUGUUAAAUACGGAUAAUGAAGGAAAUGAGAAGUUAUACCAAAGGAUGAUGCUGACUUUGCCAGCUGAACCCCUCACAGCAAUCUUGUUCUCCUCAAACCCUCUUCGCUUGCUUAAUCCUCUGUUCUCUUUACUUUCAUCACCAACACAUGUAAGAGAAUAACUUGAGCUUAAUCCAUGUGUUCCUUUACAAUCCCGUGGUACAACUGAAGAAGAUCCUAGAAAAACUUGUAGUUGAGAGGAAGAAUUGCAUGAAACAUGUGGAAUUCUAGGACAAAUCAAAAUUUUGAUUUCUAUUUCCUGGUAUCAAUUUCGAAAUGACUGAUGACUGAUAUUAAAAUUUUGAUAAGGGACCUCAGAAAUUGCAUUUGGUAUUGGCUUGGGUGCUAUCUAGUAGCUGAUGUCAAAGUUUAGAUAUGGAUUUUGGUAGUGUGUCUCACUAUUUGACACCGUCAAAUUUUGCAUGUUGCAUGGGAAUCCCUGAGCCAAUCUUUACACACUAAAUAGUACACAUUUUGGAUGUGUGGAAGCUCUUGAAAAACAUGACCAAUACUCAUCAAAACAAAUGCAUGAGAUAUGAGCACAUAUGGUAUAUGCGUGUUAUGCUACCAAUGACAAAAUUAGGGGUCAACAAUUUUUUUUUUCUUGUUCUUCCUCAUUUUAUCAUCAAUUUGUGCCCUUUCAUAUAUUUGGUUGGCCCUGUUAAUAAUAGUUUUGUUUCCCUAUAAAAAAAAUUCAAAAUUAUUAUAUCAGUAGGAUCUUAUUUUUGUAUUUCUUACUAGAAAAUUUAAGUGAAUUAGUUAUAUUAACAUUGGGUAUGAUAUUUUAGUUAACAUUCAAUACAAGCUAGAUUUUACAUUGAUCUGCCGCUCUCAUGUACUCAUAUCUCACAUGAGCAUACUACUUAUUGACUUGACAAGGAGAGUUUGAAAUUUUGUAGGCUUCAUAAGCAUCGAUUGUGGGAUAAAUCCGGGUUCCAGCUAUUUUGGUGCCGCAACUGAAAUAUAUUACAUGUCAGACUCAGAAUUCAUAGACACUGGGAUAAAUUAUGAUGUUUCCAUAGAACACAGAUCCAGGUUUGGAACUCCAGAUCAGCAGCUUAUGACUGUGAGAAGCUUUCCAGAAGGAACCAAGAAUUGUUACACUCUUCAACCACAACAAGGCAAAGAUAAUAAGUACUUGAUCAGAGCUUCCUUCAUGUAUGGGAACUAUGACUCCAAGAAUCAACUUCCAGAGUUCAAACUAUAUCUGGGUGUUAAUGAAUGGGAUGCUGUGAAAUUCAACCAUUCAUAUGAUAUUGUCAGGAAGGAAAUUAUACAUGUCCCAAGAACAGGUCACAUAGAUGUCUGCCUAGUGAACACUGGUUCUGGGUCACCUUUCAUAUCGGCAUUAGAGUUGAGACAACUGAAUAAUUCCAUUUAUUCAACUCAAUCUGGAUCAUUGAUACUCUUUAAGAGGCUUGAUAUUGGUUCAACACGUCAGACAGUCAGGUGAGGCAUGCUGUGAGUAGGUCACUAACAUUAUCACCUAUCACCCAAUAUUCACUACUUAAUUUCCUUAAUUUCUUUCACCUUAAGCUUGUGUAUUUCUAAAUGACUUAAACUAACAAAUUAUAUAAUUCUCACCAGAUACAAAGAUGACGCUUUUGAUCGCAUUUGGGAACCAUUCAGCCGGCCUUAUUGGAAAUCAGUGAGCGCAUCCUAUAGUAGUGAUACUUUAAGUGAUAACCACUUUAAACCUCCAUCCAAGGUCAUGGCAACUGCUGUAACCCCUGCUGAUGAAAGAUAUCCCUUGGAAUUCCACUGGAAUCUGGACAAUUCUACUCGACAGUUCUAUGUAUACACGCACUUUGCUGAGGUUGAGGAGCUCCAAUCCAACCAGUUGAGAGAAUUGUAUGUAUCACUUAAUGGUUGGUUCUGGAGUCCUGAACCUAUUGUUCCUGGAAGAUUGGUUCCACAUACUGGAUUUAGCGCACAUUCCAUAAGUGCAUCAUCUGAGCUAUCGCUUUCAAUUUUUAAGACACACAGAUCCACUCUUCCACCAAUUCUCAAUGCUUUGGAGAUUUAUGAGAUAAAACAGUUGUUUCAAUCAUCAACUGUCCAGAGCAAUGGUAUGUGUCCUUGUCCUCAUAUUUCUUAAGGACUUAAAGAGAAUAGGAUCUUUGUCUAGAUCACCCUCCAGUGCCUAUGAAUAAGAUUAUUUAAAUUGUGGGAGGCAACAGAUAAACCUCCUCUUGACAGAUUGGAUUUGUUCUGGGACUGUUUAUAUCUCUGUCUGAUUCCAUGAGAAUGUACUAGAUUUAGGAUUGGAAUUUGUUGAUUUGAUUUCUUACUUCCAAAUUUGCCAUACUAAAUAAUUCUUCCUGAUUCUUUAUCUGUAUUUUUCUUUUCUUUGUGGUUUGUAACAUUUGAAAAGCCCACACAUGAUCCACUUACAUCUUUGUCUAUUCUUGGAAAUCAAAACUAGUUGAUGCUAUCAAGAAAAUCAAGGCAGUUUACAAGGUGAAGAAAAACUGGCAAGGAGAUCCAUGUCUUCCCAUUGAGUUCUCAUGGAAUGGCCUGAGCUGCAGUGACAACAGUCCCCUUUCCCCUAGCACCGUCUCUUUGUGAGUUUAUGCAGCAAAAAAAAAAAAAAAAAAAAAAAAACAGAUUUGAAGAAACAUAAUUUCAAUUAAUUAUUACUGUAACUGUUAUUACAUUUUGCUUCUCUUCAGUAAAUAGAAAAGAUGUCCAGAUACUAAUGUCACUCUAACUGGUAAGCAGGAACCUUUCUUGGAGCAAGUUAACUGGGAAGAUAGAUUCUUCAUUCUCCAAUCUCACAUCAUUAAAAUCUUUGUAAGUACUAUAUAUACAUAUAUGAAGUGGUGGCACUUGGUAUGUAGCUAAGAAAAGCUCAUGGUAAUGGGCUAGAAUUUCACCUAUUCUUUUGCUUUAGAGGCAAUGCUGUCAAGGAUUGACCACUUGCAUGCACGUUCCCAUGGCAUAUUGAAUAAGUACAGCUACUUACUAAAGCAACCCUUUCAUUACAGAGAUUUAUCUUACAAUAGUUUGACUGGAGAAGUGCCAAACUUUCUAUCUAAACUGCCUUCCUUGAAGACCCUGUAAGUUUUUAAAAUCUUUUCUUUGCAAAGCUUUAUCUUAAUUAAUCAGCAAAAGGAACUGAUGCCCAAAUUCUGUGUUCUUUUGCAGGAACUUGUCAGGGAAUAAUCUCACAGGAUCAGUUCCAUUGGCUCUCAUUGAAAAAUCUAGAAAUGGAUCCCUGUCUUUGAGGUCUGGUUGCUCAAAAUUAACCUUUAUUUCAAGUUUUCUUGGUGGUUAUUCAUUUUAUUCUUAGUAGCUGUCCUCGGUUCCAACUUUUCUUUCAGAAUCCUGGACAUAUUUUUAUUUCCUUUAUUUUGAAAUAAAAUAUGUUUUUCCUGCCACUCUGACAUAUAUUAGCUUUGUUGAUGGUAGAUUGGAUGGAAAUCUGAAUCUUUGUAAGAAAAACUCUUGUGAGGAAGAGGAGGACAAAGAGAAGUCCAGUAAUAAUGUUAUUGUUCCAUUAGUUGCAUCCAUUAUUUCAGUUCUAGUCCUCUUAUUAGGUGAAGUAGCAGCCUUGUGGAUAUUUAAAAGGAGACAACAACAUGGUAUUCUUCUUUGUCUUCUCGGGUAUUUUAAGAAAAAACUUGUGACAAUGCUGAUUGCAUUUACAAUGCUCUAACUAGCUGUGAUAUUGUUGUAAAUCAACCUAAUUAAUGAAGGUGGUAUGGCAUUGGACUCAAUGAACCCCCGCCUUAGUUACUCUGAGGUCAAUAGAAUCACUGGCAACUUCAAAAAGCUGCUUGACCAAGGAGAAUCAGCAGAAGUUUACCUUGGCCAUUUAAGUGAUGGCACUGAAGUUGCAGUCAAGAUGCUGACACCUUCAUCAGUUCUAGUGUUUAAGCAAUUCAAGACUGAGGCAAGCUUCUCUGUACUUGCAUUCAAGUGAUUCUAAUUUUGAACUGGCUAUAGCUAGUGUUCAGCUACGUAGCUAGACACAAGCAAAAAGAAAAGUCAAUUUCAAUGUCGUUGGUUGUGUUGAUUUGAAUGACAGGCUCGGCUGUUGACAAGAAUUCAUCAUAAAAACUUGGUUUCUCUAAUUGGAUACUGUGAUGAAGGUUCAAGGAUGGUGCUCAUUUACGAGCAUAUGGCUAAGGGGAACUUAAAAGAGUAUUUAUCAGGUACCUAGUUGUAUUGUAGCACCGAAUGAGAUUUCUGGUUAAUGUGGUUAUUUUAAUUCCUUCCAUACCCCGUUAAAAUUUGGUUUGUUAGAAAUAGAUUGAGUUUCAGCAUUCAUGUCCAAAAGCCAUGCAUUUUGACAAAACUGCAGAAUCGUUCUAAGAUAGUACCAAAAUAACGGCUAAAUUCAAUAUUUGAAACUAUUAUUAUGCUACAUUUUGAUUAUUUCUGUGGUAUUUUCAAGUAAAUGCAGAAGUCUAAUAAAGAUUUAACUUAUCAUGCAUGCAUGCAGGCAAAAAAGAAACUGUCUUGAGUUGGGAACAAAGGCUUCGAAUAGCAAUUAACACGGCACAAGGUUCACUAAUUAAUGAGCAGAUUAACUUAAAAAAAAAAUUCUUAUGCCUGUCUAGUUCCUUUUUCUACUAUUUUUUCCUGAACUAAGUGAAUUGGAAUUUGAAUUGUAGCUUUGGAAUAUUUACACGAUGGUUGCAAUCCGCCCAUAAUCCAUAGAGAUGUUAAAACUGAAAAUAUCUUAUUGAAUGAAAAAAUUCAAGCCAAAGUUGCAGCUUUUGGGUGGUCUAGAAGUAUGCCCUCUGAAGGUGGAAGCUAUGUAUCAACUGCAAUUGUUGGCACACCGGGGUACAUCGACCCCGAGUAAGUACCCUUUGUUAUUUCACUGAAAGCCAAUGCUAUUAAAUUGAUGAGUAUUGUAGAAAAUCAAUGAAGUGAAACUUAUAACAGAAUUUGUGUCAUCUCAAUUUGAUUGGGCUUUAAGUCAUCGUGGCUCUUAAGUAUGAGUUGCUCUUUAAGAAUUGAUUGUUACUUCUUUUAACAUACAAACAGCUAAGCAAUCGAAAAUUUUAUCAGUACCUUUUCUUUUAGGACAAACUGAAUUUCAGUUUUUUUAUUUUUUAGUUUAAAUCAACUGAGGUUGUUAGCAUGUUUUUCAUGUAGGUACGACAAAACCUCAGUACCAAGUAAGAAAACUGAUAUUUAUAGCUUUGGGAUUGUUUUAUUGGAGCUUAUUUCGGGUCGACCUGCAAUCAUAAAGAUCACAAAAGAGAGCCCAUGUAACAUAGCAGAUUGGGUUCACCUAGUCACUGCAAAAGGUGAUAUAAAAAUGAUCGUAGAUCCAAGGUUACAAGGAGAAUUUGACCCCAAUUCUGCCCAGAGAGCUGUAGAGACAGCAAUGUAUUGUGUCCCAGUCAGCUCCAUAGAUAGGCCAACCAUGAGUUAUGUAGUAGUGGAAUUGAAAGAAUGUCUGAAAAUAGCCAUCGCCCAUGAAAGAACUGACAACGCAGAAGAGGACCAGGGUCCUGUUAGUAUUGAAACUGUCCAGGCAAGAACUGACAAUGUGGAAGAGGAUCAUGAUCCUUUUGGUAGUGAAACUGCCCAUGAAAGAACUGAUGAUGCAGAAGAGGACCAUGGUCCUCUUGCUGUUGAAGCUGUCCAUGAAGUAACUGACAAUGCUAAAGAGGACCAGGGUCCUGUUGGUAUCGAAGCUGCACAUGAAAGAACUGUCAAUGUGGAAGAGAACCAUGGUCCUGUUGGUAUUGAAGCUGCCUAUAAAAGAACUGAUGAUGCAGAAGAGGACCAUGGUCCUGCUGCUAUUCAAGCCACCCAAGAAAGAACCGACAAUGUGGAAGAGAACCAUGGUCCUGUUGGUAUUGAAGCUGCCCAUGAACGGAUUGAUGAUGCAGAAGAGGACCGUGGUCCUGUUGCUAUUGAAGCUACCCAAGAAAGAACUGACAAUGUGGAAGAGAACCAUGAUCCUGUUGGUAUUGAAGCUGCCCAUGAAAGAACUGAAAAUGUGGAAGAGGACCAAGGUCCUCUUGGUAUUAAAUCUGCAAUGGCUAUCCAAGAAAGGUGGAGAUAUUUGCCAAAAAAUUGGUGCAUAUAUAUUGUUGAGGACUGCUCAAUUCAUAGUGCCUUUAUUUGGAAAAACACACAUUUUUUUAAAUUACAUGAUUUUAUAGAGUUCUGAUUAUCUACAGGAUAACCUCACACCAUCUCGUAUGGUACAAUCCUCUUCCUUUCAAUUUUUUUAAAUUAGUAUGAAAAAUUUUAGAAAAUUGAUUGUUUGCAAGAAGGCAUUUGUUGUGUUUAAAGCGACAGGAAGUGCUUGUUUUCUUCAUUUUGAUUUAUUUUUUCUUUUUCCUAGGAAGGUCUAUCCAACAAGAAUGAAGUCAAAACAGCCAGUAAAUUAUAAAAGUUCAAGGAGUAUUUGAUAACAAAUAACAAUGAUUUUUCAAUAGUUCUUGUUCCCACUUUUACAUAUAUUAUCUGUUUUGACAUUAGUUUGGAGUUUCAAUGGGAAUCUGGAUUUUUGUAGUACAAACUCAUAUGAGGAGGCCAAGGAAAAGGAGGAGAAGAAUAUUGUUGUUCCAGCAGUUGCAUCAAUUACUUCAUUUGUAGUCCCAUCAGGUGAGUUAGUUAACUUAGAAAAUUCUGAAAUGAGAUGGCAACAUAGUUUACUCCUAUUUGUUUUAUGGGGCAAUUUUAAGAGAAAUCUUGAUAUACAGAAAUGCUGAUUACAUGUACCAUGAUUUUACUCUGUAGACAUUGUUGUCAAACCUAACGAGGAUGAUAAAACAUUUGAGCCAAAGAACCAACACCUUACUUAUUUUGAGGUUGAAAGAAUCACUGACAAUUUCCAAAAGGAGCUUGGAAGAGGAGCAUCAUCAAUAGUUUAUCAUGGUCAUUUAAGUAAUGGCACUGAAGUUGCAGUCAAGAAGCUGUCACCUUCAUCAAUUCUAGGGUCAAAGCAAUUCAAAACUGAGGUAAAACUUCUCUAUACUUGCAUUCAAGUUAUUAUGGAUUUGAACUUGCUAUAGUGCGGUUACUCAUUACCAGACAAACAAAAAGGAAAAUCAAUUUGAAUGUUGUGGGUGUUGAUUUGAGUGACAGGCUCAGCUUUUGACACGAGUUCAUCAUAAAAACUUGGUUUCUCUAUUUGGAUACUGUGAUGAAGGUUCAAACAUGGUGCUCAUUUAUGAGUAUAUGGCAAAGGGGAAUGUAAAAGCAUAUUUAUCAGGUAGGUAGUUGAUUGUACCCCUGAAUGAGAUUUGCUGUUAAUGUGCCUUAUUGAAAUUUGAUUAAUCAGAAUAGAAUCAAUUUAGACAUUCAUGUCUAAAAAUCCCAUAUUUUGACUGAACCAUGGAGUAGUUCUAAAGAUAGUGCCAAAACUAUGGAUGAAAUUAUGAUUUGAAACUACUAUUCUGCUAAAUUUUGAUUAUUUCUGUUAUAUUUUCAAGUAAUUGCAAAAGUGCAUGCAAAAAAAAAAUGAUUUAUUAUGUCAUGCGUGCAGGUAAAACAGAAGCUGUCCUGAGUUGGGAACAAAGACUUCAAAUAGCAAUUGAUGCAGCACAAGGUUUGCCAAUGAGCAGAUAAAAUAAAAAUUUUCUUAUAGUUGUGUGGUUCCUUUUUAUGCCACUUUUCCUAAACUAAGUUAAAGUGGAAUUUGAAUUGUAGCACUGGAAUAUUUACACAAUGGUUGCAACCCACCCAUAAUCCAUAGAGAUAUCAAAACUGAAAACAUCCUAUUGAAUGAAAAAUUGCAAGCGAAAGUGGCAGAUUUUGGUUGGUCUAAAAGUAUGCCUGCUGAAGGUGGAAGCUAUGUAUUAACUGCAAUUGUUGGCACACCUGGCUACCUCGACCCUGAGUAAGUGCCCUUUAUUACUUAAAUGGAUUGCUAUGAGACUGAUGGAUGUCUUAGUAAAUGAAUAAAAGAAUAUUAAUGCAACUGAAAACAGAGUCUCUAUUGCCAUUUGAGUUCUGAUUGACAUUUUUGUUGGCUAGCAUGCAUUGAUCCUUAAGAACUGACUGUCACUUCUUCCUACAAACAAGUACCUAAGGCUAAUCAAAAUUUUAUCAUAAACUUCUCUUUCAGAACAAACUCAAGUUCUUUUCUUUAUUCAUUAUCAAAAUCAACUGAGGUUGUUAGUGUGUUUUUCAUGUAGAUAUCACAGAAGCUCAGUGCCAAAUGAGAAAACCGAUGUUUAUAGCUUUGGGAUUGUUUUGUUGGAGCUUAUUUCAGGUAGGCCUGCAAUCAUAAAGAUAACAAAAGAGAACCUAUGUAACAUAACAAAUUGGGUCCACCACAUCAUUGCAAAAGGGGAUAUAAGAAUGAUUGUAGAUCCAAGGUUACAAGGAGAAUUUGAGACCAAUUCUGCCAGGAGAACUAUAGAGACAGCAAUGUCCUGUGUAUCAUUCAGCUCCACUGAGAGGCCUACUAUGAGCGACAUAGUAGUAGAAUUAAGAGAAUGUCUAAAAAUAGCGAUGGCCCAUGAAAGAACUAACAAUUUGGAAGAGGACCAUGAUUCUGCUGGUAUUGAAGCUGCAAUGACUGCUGAAGAAAGGUAGAAUAAUAUUUGUCAAAAAUGGGUACAUAUAGUUUAGACUGCUCAAUUCAUGGUGCAAAUCCUUCUUUCUUUGGUGCACUUUAUUUGGAAAAACACUCUUUUGAAAUUAUAUGAUUUUGUAGAAUUGUGAUUAUUUGUAGGAUGACCUCUUUGUUUAUCUCAUGGUACAAUCCUCUGCAAAUAUUUUGAAAUAUGAGGAUUUUCAGAAACGAAGAUUAUUUGAAAAAAUUUGAGAUGUUUAAGUUUUGAUUCAAUUCUUCUUCUUCUUCUUAUCCAAUAUGAAUAUGUGUUGGGACAGUAAGUAAUUAUCUGCUUUCAUGUUAGUUUGGACGGAAAUCCGGAUUUCCAUAAGACAGACUCGUAUGAGAAGGCUAAGGAGAAGGAGGAGGAGAAAAAGAAUUUUGUUGGUCCAGCAGGUAGAUCAAUUACUUCAGUUUUAGACCCCUCUGGUGCAUUAAACAACUUGGGAAGAUCUAAAAAGAAAUUGCCACAUGGUAUUUUCUUAUCUGUCUUGUGGAAUUACUUUAAGAACAACUUGUGAUACUGAAGUGCUGAUUACAUUUACUAUGAUCUUAUCAGCUAAAGAUAUGAAUAACUCCAAGGUUGCAAGAAUCACUUAUGAAAUUGGAUAUGGAGCAUCUGUGCCCGGUUUACCUUGGUCAUUUUCGCAAUCGUAUUGAGUUGGCUGUCAAGAAGCUUUCAGCUUUAAAUAGAGGAUUCAGGAAAUUUCAGACAGAGGCAAGCUUCUCUAUAGUAGCAUUCAAGUUAUUCUGAUUUUGAACUAGCUAUUGUGCAGUUAUACAUUGCUAGACGCAAACAAAAAUUGAAACUUAAUUUGAAUAUUGCUGGGUGUUGGUUUGGGUGACAGGCUGAGCUGUUGACAAGAGUUCACCAUAAAAACUUGGUUUCUCCGCUUGGAUACCAUUUUGAAAGUUCAAGCAUGACACUCAUUUAUGAGUAUAUGGGGCCGGGGAGCUUAAGAAAGUAUUUAUCAGGUAUCCAUUUCUCUAAUACUCAAUACAAUCUGUAAUUGUAUAUGUGAAACCAAUUAAUAACAAAGCUAUGGCUUAUAUGAAGAUGUGAAACCACUCUUCUGCUAAUUCUGAUUAUUUUUGCAAUAUUUUUAAUUACAGAUAUUAUCAGGGUUUCCCUUUAUAGCCCAAAACUGCAAAAACACAAAAAAGAAAAAAAAAAUAAUUCUCUUAUGCCAUGAGUGCAGAUGAAAAUGAAGCUGUUUUGAGCUGGAAACAAAGAAUUGGAAUAGCACUUGAUGUAGCGCAAGGUUAGAUUGUGCUCUCAGAUGAAUGGAGAAGUUUUCUUCUAUACCUCUAGUUGUGUUUCAUAAAUUCUUUUCCUAUACUAAUUACCAGGGAAUUUGAAUUGUAGGACUGGAAUAUUUACAUAAUGGUUGCAAGACACCCAUAAUCCAGAGAGACAUUAAAUCUGCAAACAUCUUACUAAAUGAAAAGAACGAAAAAUUGCAAGCUAAAGUGGCAGAUUUUGGGUUGUCUAGAAGUGUGCCUAAUGAAGAUCCUGCUUAUUUAUCAACUGUGGUCGUUGGCACAUGCCAUUACCUUGACCCCAAGUAAGUUUUCAAGGUUUACUUCAUUGGAAUGCAAUGUCGACUAACUGAUGGAUAUAGAAAUUCGAUCAGUCACUAAACUAAAAAUAUUCUAAUUGACUUUUAAAAAUCAAAUGAAAUUCUAAUUUUGGGAACUGAAUUCAAGUUUACUUUUCAAUAGUUCUUCACUUUUUUUUUUCUUCUUCCCAUAGGUAUUUCUUAACGGCAGGGUUGAGUGAGGAAAAUGAUGUCUAUGGCUUUGGGAUUGUUCUAUUGGAGCUUAUUUCAGGCCAACCUGCAGUGGCAAAGAGCAGCGUGGGCACAGUUCACCUACUCCAAUGUGUUCCUCUCCUGCUUCUUGAUACGGGGGAAAUCACGGCUAUUGUGGAUCCAAGGUUAAAUAUUGAACGCUUUGACAUCUAUUCUGCCCGGAAGCUUGUAGGAACAGCAAUGGCUUGUGUAAAAUGUAACUCCCCGAAAAGGCCAAUCAUGAGUGAUGUAGCAGACAAAUUAAAACAGUGUAUGAACUAUUUAGCAAGAACAAUUGGGGAUGCGGAAGAGUAGUAUCUGCCUCAGCCUUUUUCACGCCGAGUCCGACAUUCAAUACCAUCUUAAACAAGGAUUCGAUCAAGAACUCGGACAAGAUUCUAAGCUAAGAUGCUGAAACCGAUGUGUCUCGAAACCCUUUGAGUCGAUGAUUGAGACUGCGACUUUCAACCAUGUCUUAGAGUACUAAUGAUAUAUGCCUUUAGUACUCCUUUUAGUUGUUUUCAUAUGAAAGGGAAUUUGUCUUACAUUUUUGGAAUUGUAGUUGAAGCUAUCAGGAACGUAAAGUCAGUGUAUGGAGUGAAGAGGAACUGGCAAGGUGAUCCUUGUGCUCCAAAAAAGCACUUGUGGGAUGGCCUUGAGUGCAGCUACAAUGGUUACAAUUCCCCCAGGAUCAUCUCUCUGUGAGUUUUCUGCCCAGGAAAAACAAGCUAAUGUGAAUUAUUGAAUUUUCUUCUUAAUGAAUAUCAUUCUAAUCUGUGUCUAGGGACCUGUCUUCAAGUGGGUUGUCCGGGAAAAUAGACUCUUCACUGUCCAAUCUCGAAUCCUUACAGUACUUGUAAGUAUAAAGUAAUACAAUGAAAAUCAAAUAUAACAUCUGUGAACUCCAUUUUUCAACACUUUAAUUCUCUAACUGUACUAGUUAUUUCAUUAUAGAGAUUUAUCAAACAACAGUCUAACUGGAGAAGUGCCAGAUUUUCUCAGCCAACUGCCUCUAUUGAAGACCCUGUAAGUUAAUGGUAUUCAUUUUUUCAACAUAAUGUAAGUAUUUUUUUGGCAAACAUAUAAAGAAGGGGACUGAAUCCUAUGUGGCUUUGCAGAAACUUAUCAGGAAAUGAAUUCACAGGUUCAGUUCCAUCACUUCUUAUCCAAAGAUCCAAAAAUGGAUCCCUCUCUUUGAGGUUUGCUUGACAAACCGACCAAAUUCAAGUUUUAGACCAUCUUGAUUCAGUUGAAUGUUGCUAAAAUUUUCCAUUUGGUGCUAGCGUGGAUGGCAAUCCAAAUCUUUGUGUAAUGGCCUCAUGCAACAACAAGAAGAGUGUCGUUAUACCUGUAAUUGCAUCUAUUGCUGUAGUUUUAGUGCUUCUGAUCGCAUUCCUCAUCUUGUGGGGCUUAAAAAGAAGACGACAACAACGGCAAGGUAUUGAUAUCUAUUUAAGAAAUGAUUUUGGAAUGAUCAUAAAAAAAUGCUUGUUUAGUUAUAUAACAAUUGUUUCAUCUCUGUGCAUAGCCCUUGAAUCCAAAGCCAAUUAUGAAGAAGAUGGAAGAUUGGAGUCAAAGAAUCUGCAAUUUACAUAUUCUGAACUUGUAAACAUAACCAACAACUUCCAAAAAGUACUUGGGAAAGGAGGAUUUGGAUCAGUUUAUGGUGGCUACUUCAAUGAUGGCACUCAAGUUGCUGUGAAGAUGCUAUCAGAACAAUCAGCUCAAGGGUUUAAGGAGUUCCGCUCAGAGGCAAGCGCAUAUCUUCAUCAUCUAUGAAAAAUUAUAGGAAAUUUUCUAAUUUGGCUUGGAUCUGAGUAAACCCAUUUGCAUUACAGGCUCAGCUGUUGACAAAAGUUCAUCAUCGGAACUUGGCUCCCCUAAUUGGAUACUGUAAUGAAGGACGAUGCAAGGGGCUUGUAUACUCAGGCUUGUAUAUGAGUAUAUGGCUAAUGGAAACUUGCGAGAACAUAUAUAUCUAUAUAUAUAUAUGGACUCUUACGAACCUUAUAGACACGUUGCAUCAAUUCUGAUUUUGUGAUUUUGUAUGUAAUUAUUCUGUUAUAGGUGCAGGAAAGGACACUCCGGUCUUGAGUUGGGAACAAAGGCUUCAAAUAGCAGUUGAUAUCAAGCAUGAAACUUCUUUCUGAACAUGGAUUUUUCCUCAUCUAAAUAACUAACAGCAGUGGAAGAUGGAAUUGCAGCAUUUGAAUAUUUACAUGAAGGUUGCAAGCCACCAAUAAUCCACAGAGAUGUUAAGACUUCCAACAUUUGCUUGGAUGGAAAAUUGCAAGCAAAAGUGGCUGAUUUUGGGCUGUCCAGAUUCAUGCCAUCAGAGAGUAGAACUAUUGUAUCAACUAAAGUUGCUGGCACACCCGGCUACCUCGAUCCUGAGUAAGUCUUCUACAACAGUAACAAUCUGGGUGUUGGAUUGUGAAGUCUAAAUUAAUGUUUUUAUGCUACACGAAGGCAUUGAGAGUUGAGCUCCUACCAAGCUCGCAGGAAUCAAGCUCCUUGUUGAGCUCGUGGGAAUCGAGAUCCUUACUAAGCUCACAGGAAUUGAACUAUCUGCUUAGCUUGUGGAGUUUAAGGGAGUGCAUCCUUCGAAUAAUUUUUUUUAUUUAUUGAGUGAUGAGUUUGCCCCUACAACUCCCUCAAGCCUGGAGCAGGCCCGAGCCUACCACUCCAUUCUCAAUCAGUAGGCACCAAGAGCCUUGCCCGCCACGUGCCUCAUGCACAAGCGGGGUGGCUCAUAGCAGCCUGGCUCACAACGGCCCUCUUGAACAAACAAUGAACCCUAACGUGGAACGUGUCAAGGAACUAUAUUUAACCCUUUUAUGAAUUAGGGUUUUGUUUUAAAGAGAAAAAUUGUGUGCAGGCCGUUGUAAUUGAGAGAAGUGAGAGAUUUCAUACCAGGCCAUGAGAACACACACUUUGUUGACUGGCUCAGUCCCAGGCUUGCAGGAGGGGAAAUAAGAAGCAUUGUAGACUCUACGCUAAAUGGAGAUUUCAACCCAAACUCGGCCUGGAAACUUGUAGAGACAGCAAUGGCAUGUGUGCCCAGAAGCUCCAUACAAAGGCCAACAAUGAGUCAAGUGGUUGCGGACCUGAAGGAGUGUCUGCAGAUGGAAAUGCACCGCAACAAAAG
rnacentral:lncRNA from 1 species